rnacentral:lncRNA from 1 species
GCUGCAAACAGGAAGGAUUUUAUUCACCAUUGAUGCGGCUCCGAGUAGUCCCAAAGCGAGGCAGUGCCCACAAGGUCUGUGCUGAGAAGGCUGCUCUGCCUUCGCGGUGUCUCCCGGGUGUGUGCUGAGCAGAACGCAGCUCCGCCCUCGCGGUGCCCCUGGCCCGCCCGCCCGGGUCUGUGCUGAGGAGAACAUGCUCCGCUUCGCUGUAUCUCCGAAGUCUGUGCAGAGGAGAACUCAGCUCCGCCCUGGCAAUGCUCUCCGGGUCUGUGCUGAGGAGAAGGCAGCUCCGCCCUCGCAAAGGCACAGGGCGCCGGCGCAGGCGCAGAGAGGCGCACGGGGGUACCCCUAGCGGGCUCGAGGCCCACCCGUGGCUUGAACCAGGGUCUCCAGGGUCCACAGGGCCCAGAGCAGGAGCUGAUGGGAAGGCAUUUUCAUCGUGGGGGACCCAGGCCCUGCUUCUCCGUGGCGCGGGUUGUUUUUUUUUCUUUUUCUGUGACAGGUGCCUCACCACUCCUCCCUCAAAACUCACCUUCCCUCAUGGGCUUUGUGCUCCCAAAGCUCCCCUUGGGGUGCACGUAGCGGCUGAGGCACACCCUGAGCUCGAACCAGGGACACCAGGGUCCCCGGGUCCCAGUGCAGGGACUGAUGGGAAGACACUUUCGUCCGUGGGGAAUCAGGCCGCGCUUCUCUGCAGCGAAGUUUUUUUUUUCUCUGCCCCAGGUGCCUCGCCUUCCCCUUAUGGGCUUUCUGCCCACCUUGGGGUAACACUAGUGGCCCGAGGCGUACCCUGGGAUCAAACCAGGGACGCCAGGGACCUCAGUGCCAAGCGAACGGGCUAAGGAGAAGACAAUUUCCUCCGUGAGGGACCCAGGCACUGCUUCUCGGCGGCGCGUUUCUUUACUUUCUCUGCCUCAGGUGCCUCACCUUCCGCUCAUGGACCAUUUGUUCGCUUUCUGGUACCGCAAGCGGUCCCGAAGCGCACCCUGGGCUCGAACCAGGGUCGUCACUGUCCACUCUGCCCAGGGUACAGCAUAAUGGGAAGGCACUUUCAUCCAUGGGGGACCCAGGCCCCACUUGUCUGAGGCGAGGUCUCCUGUUUUUUUCCUGCCCCUGGUGCCUCACCUCUAUUCCCACAAACUUCAAAUUCAACUCAUGGGCCUUCUGUCCGAGUUGGGGUACCCCUAGUGGCCCGACGCGCACCCUGGGCGCCAACGACGGAUGCCAGGGUCCCUGGGGACCAGCGCAAGGGCUGAUGGGAAGACAUUUUCGUCAGUAGAUGACCCAGAAACCGCUUGGCGAUGCAUUUUUUUCUCUGCCCCAGGUGCCUCAACUUCCCCCCAUCAGCCUCCUGUCUCUCUGCACCUGCGCCGGCGCCGUGCUCUUCUCUGCGCCGCCACCGUUGCUGGGGGAUGGGUCCCUGAGACUUGGCGAAGUAGGAGUACUGGACUCGUGCACAGGCCCUGUCUCGCAGGUUUUCAGGUGCGCUUGGCGUUUCCUCCGCUUUGAGGGGCAGGUCUCCAGUGGCCCCCGGGCGCAGGCCUGGACAUCACUGUCCGUCUCAUCGUCGCCCACUACGGCCUCAGAGACACAGGCUCACUGCAUGUGCUCUUGGGGGACGUCAGUGCCACGUGUGGUCACACUGGCUCCGGCUCGGACUAGCCUCUGUCUCUCUUUGCCCGUGUCGCCGGAAGCCGCGUCGAGAUGCCGGAGCCCCCGGGCCUUGGAGAUGAAGGCAGGCCCCUGCUCCACCCAGGAAGGAGGGAGGCAGUGGGCUCGUGGGUCAGUGCCUUUGCAGGCGACAGCACGCCUUGCGGCCCUGGGGAUCUUUCUGUGCCCCGGCGAGAGCCUUUCCGCCUCACUGCAUUGUAACCCCAUUCCCGAUCACCGGGUGGGAUCCAUCAUCGGAUCCCAAGAGGAGUCCGCGCAGCCCAGCCGACACCCCGAAGCUCCUCCUUCACCGAGAACCCAAGCAGAAGACCGAUCAAGGAGGUCCUGACGACAGGACUCCUAUGGGUCCGACCCUGGGUCUCCCGCAGGCCCCUCUGGUAGUCCUCUUCCCACCCGCCGCCCGGGGCUGCGCCGCAGCCGCCGCCGCAACCUCCAGCACCGCCGCCCCAGUCCCCGCAGCCGCCGCGUCGCCGCCAUUUUUUAAAGGGUCCGCAGCCUGACUCUGCCGAGUAAGGGGGGGUGGGGCGGGUGAGUCGGCCUCGCCAGUGCGCAUGCGCGAGGCCCGAGCCGCCGCUUUGGUCACAGUGACCGCCACCGUCGCCGGGGGAUGGGUCCCUGAGACUUGGCGAAGUAGGAGCCCUGUGUGAUCGUGCGUCAGAGUCGGGGCUGAGACCAGCCCUGGCCAGGGCAGUUACCAGGACGGUCUCCGGAGGCCGGGAUUCGCGGAGGGUCCACCAGCAGGAAGAAACCCCAGGAGGAAGAAACCUCAGACAGAUCGCCGGGGAGGCAGCGCGGGAUCCCAGCCUCAGGCGUGCGCGGACGGUGUGCGGAGUCUAGCUUUGUACCAGGCUGCAGUGCAGUAGUGCCAUCUCAGCUCACUGCAACCUCUGCCUCCCGGGUUCAAGCGAUUGUCCUGCCUCAGCCUCCCGAGUAGCUGGGAUUACAGCCACAUGCCACCACACCCAGCUAAUGUUUGUAUUUUUAGUAGAUACGGGGUUUCAUCAUGUUGCCCAGGAUGCUCUUAAUUUCCUGACCUCGUGAUCCGCCCAUCUCGGCCUCCCAAAAUGCUGGGAUUACAGGCAUGAGCCACCAGAACCGGACAUGCUUUGCUUAAAAGCUAAAUAUUUUAGGCUUGUGUGCCAUUAGGCUCUGUUACAACUACUUAAUUCUGCUUUUGUAAUUCUAUAGCACCCAUUGAUAAUACAUAAACAAAUGAGCAUGAAUGUGUCUCAGUAAAAAUUUGUUCACAUAAACAGGCAGUCCACCCAUGAAGCUAUAGCUUGCUGACCCCUUGUUUAAACAAUCAAUUGAAUUCAAACAGAAAUAAAAGGAUCUUAUAUAUUUAACCAUGUUGAUACCAUUUCCAGUGCUUUUCAUUCUUCUAUGUAGAUCCAAAUUUCCUUUUGAUAUUAUUUUACUUCUGCCUGAAACAUUUUCUUUAACAUUUUUUAUAGUGUUGUUUUACUGGUGAUGAUUUCUUUCAGGUUCUAAGUGCCUGAACAAAAUCUUUAUUUCACCUACAUCUUGAAAGAUAGUUUCUCUGAGUCUACAAUUCCCAGCUGACAAUGUUUAUCUUCCAGUACUUUAAAGAUGUUGCU